GACGAACGCUGGCGGCGUGCCUAAUACAUGCAAGUCGAGCGGACUGAAUGGGAGCUUGCUCUUGUUCCGUCAGCGGCGGACGGGUGAGUAACACGUGGGCAACCUGCCCGCAAGACCGGGAUAACUCCGGGAAACCGGAGCUAAUACCGGAUAACACCGAAGACCGCAUGGUCUUUUGUUGAAAGGCGGCGCAAGCUUCCACUUUCGGAUGGUCCCGCGCCGCUUUAGCUAGUUGGUAAGGUAACGGCUCCCAAAGGCACCGUGGCGAACCCGACGUGGAGGGGGAACGGGCACACCGGGAAUGGGAAACGGGCCAGACUCCUACGGGGAGGAGGAGUAGGGAAACUUCCGCAAUAGGCGAAAGGCUGACGGAGCGACGGCGCGGGAGGGGAGAAGGGCUUCGGGUCGUAAAGAUCUGGUGAGAGGGGCGAAGGAGCGGUGUAUGAAGAAAGCGGCGCGGUGACGGUACCUAACGAGGAAGCCACGGCUAACUACGUG
rnacentral:rRNA from 1 species